rnacentral:rRNA from 2 species
UGGGGGAUAUUGCACAAUGGGGGAAACCCUGAUGCAGCAACGCCGCGUGAGGGAAGAAGGUCUUCGGAUUGUAAACCUAAGUUGUCAGGGACGAACGAAAUGACGGUACCUGAAGAGAAAGCUCCGGCUAACUACGUGCCAGCAGCCGCGGUAAUACGUAGGGAGCGAGCGUUGUCCGGAUUUACUGGGUGUAAAGGGUGCGUAGGCGGGUUUGCAAGUCAGACGUGAAAUACCGAGGCUUAACUUCGGGGCUGCGUUUGAAACUGUAGAUCUUGAGUGAAGUAGAGGCAAGCGGAAUUCCUAGUGUAGCGGUGAAAUGCGUAGAUAUUAGGAGGAACACCAGUGGCGAAGGCGGCUUGCUGGGCUUUAACUGACGCUGAGGCACGAAAGCAUGGGGAGCAAACAGG